AUUUGGAAUCAUGCUUCAUACCUAUUAUAUUUUUCAGGAUAAUCUCAAGGUGCAAAAAGUUGUAACAGCGGGCGUGGUUGUGAGUGGACCGGAGGUGAAACCAAACUACUUUUAGAUUAUUACGAACAGUACUUUGGACGAGUGGGACUCAUGAAAAAAUUUCGAAACAAAAAGGAAAUGUGGUCACAGAUAGCCGUCAAACUGAAGGAAACUCUUGGAGUGCUGAGGAAUGCAGACCAAUGCUGCACACGUUAUAAGACCGUAAUGAAGCGGUAGAAUACACCAGUGGCACACAACAGCAAGUCUGGAAACUCCCCAACACAAGUGCCUUUUGAGGAUGAGGUUGAAAAAAUUCGCUGGCUUGAUGACAGCCUGGAACCAGCAGAGCUACGGGACAGCCAUGGGAUCAUUUCACAAAAGGCGAGACCCAGCCCCCCUUCCUCAUCACUGUCACUCUCAUCACUCGCAUCACUCCCAUCACAGGCAGUUCCGACAACACCACUGAUGAAUCUGCCAGUGUUUUGGAGGACUCGCAGCCAAGUACCUCACAACGGUUUGCAAAUUCUGUCAGGAAAUUGUCGAAUGCGAAAAGUGCACGAGUAUCAACUGCAAGAGCAGAAGAAAUAAAACAGUUUUUUGAACAAAUGGAACGCCUUUAAAAGUUAGAAGAAGACCAAAAAGCUGUUCGUGAAGAAGCGAUAAGGUUGCGACAUGAAGAAAAGAAACAGUACAGAGAAGAAAUGACAAAAAAAAAAAAAAGCU